UAUAAUGUAGUUUUAUUUUAAAAUUAAAUUGAUAAUUAAAGUUAAGUAAAUUAAGGCAAGAAUGCAAAAAGCAGCUCAUGACGGGUAGGGAAAAACUAAGAAGAUUGCAAGCACUGGUGAAAUUAUGUUUUCUUCCUCUCUCCUUGAAGUCCACUAGUUAUGCCGCAACUUUGGCAAGAAACCUAAUUGUUCCUUAAAAUUUUUACUUCCCUUCCAAACUGGAGUGACCCUUUUGGAGUAGGUGCAGCCCAGUUCUUCAAAUGGCAGAUUGCUCAACAGCAGCCAUACCAGAGCUGGUCUUGUAUCAUCAGCUUGGUCUGGCUCAUUUCAAUAGGUAGAGCAAUACAACCUUACCCUUCUUCAACAACCAUUUCUGCAACAAGCAGAAAGCUAUAUUAAAAGCAUGUUCAGUUAGAUCCUGGAAUUAAGCCUUCAGGAUUUAGGAAGUGCCAGUACCAAUGCUGCAAUGCAACCUUAUCUCAGUCCCUUGGGCAUGUAUGCUUUCCUAUAAUCUUCAAUUGUAUGACUGUUAUUUUUUACAGUAUGAUGCAGCAAAGAAACACCACUAUUUCAGUGGACACCAGUAGGAGCUCAAGUUCAACUCUGGGCAGUGGUCAGCAGCAUACCAAAGUGCACACAGGACCCACCUAUGAUCACCACUUAAUCUGAACACUCCCUUGCCUUAUGGUGGCUAAAGAAUACAGCAUACCUCUGCAUGACUGAAGAACAAAGGAGCAGAGGAGAAGGAUUGAAGCUAUAAGAAGAGCUGUUGACACACAGCCUUUCAUACUGUGGACCACUGGUUAGCGAACUCUAGGAUAAAGAAAUGAGGGAAUCGCAGUGCGAAGACCCACAGAUAUCCUCCUCCCUAUUUCCCAUACACAACACCUUUAUGUUUGUAGAAGAGCGAAUCGGAGCGGUGCAGGACCGGGGCAGCGCAUCCUCCGCCUGGACCCCGCCGCCGCGCAGCGCUGCGCCGGAGCGGGGGCACCUUCCCCUUUGCUCUGCGUGUGCCUGUGUCUGUGCGUGCCCGCCCGCCCGCCCGCCGGGGUGUGUGUGUGUGUGUGUGUGUCUGUGUCCAUGUGUCCCUGCCUGCCUCCAGCCGCCCGCGAGCGAGCCGUGAGCGCCGCCGCUGCCCUUUGAUCCCGGCGUUAGUGUUAGUUAGGGGCCGGGAGGCGCGCGGGGCGCAGCCCUCGGCACCGCCGCGCCAGCUCUCGCCCCGGCACGGCGCCCGCUCGCCCGCCGGGAACACAUCCCCGGCCGCUGAGGGAUACUGCGACCGGGGACAAGCCAG